AUUGAACGCUGGCGGCAUGCUUUACACAUGCAAGUCGAACGGCAGCGCGGGCUUCGGCCUGGCGGCGAGUGGCGAACGGGUGAGUAAUGCAUCGGAACGUGCCCAGUAGUGGGGGAUAGCCCGGCGAAAGCCGGAUUAAUACCGCAUACGACCUGAGGGUGAAAGCGGGGGACCGAAAGGCCUCGCGCUAUUGGAGCGGCCGAUGUCGGAUUAGCUAGUUGGUGGGGUAAAGGCUUACCAAGGCGACGAUCCGUAGCUGGUCUGAGAGGACGACCAGCCACACUGGGAGUGAGACACGGCCCAGACUCCUACGGGAGGCAGCAGUGGGGAAUUUUGGACAAUGGGGGAAACCCUGAUCCAGCCAUGCCGCGUGCGGGAAGAAGGCCUUCGGGUUGGAAAACGCUUUUGUUCGGGAAGAAAUCCUCUGGGCUAAUACCCCGGGGGGAUGACGGUACCGGAAGAAUAAGCACCGGCUAACUACGUG
rnacentral:rRNA from 1 species